ACGGAAGGCAGCAGUGAGGAAUAUUGCACAAUGGGGGAAACCCUGAUGCAGCGACGCCGCGUGAGUGAAGAAGUAUUUCGGUAUGUAAAGCUCUAUCAGCAGGGAAGAAAAUGACGGUACCUGACUAAGAAGCCCCGGCUAACUACGUGCCAGCAGCCGCGGUAAUACGUAGGGGGCAAGCGUUAUCCGGAUUUACUGGGUGUAAAGGGAGCGUAGACGGCAAGACAAGUCUGGAGUGAAAUUCCGGGGCUCAACCCCGGAACUGCUUUGGAAACUGUUUAGCUGGAGUAUCGGAGAGGUAAGCGGAAUUCCUAGUGUAGCGGUGAAAUGCGUAGAUAUUAGGAGGAACACCAGUGGCGAAGGCGGCUUGCUGGACGACAACUGACGCUGAGGCGCGAAAGCGUGGGGAGCAAACAGGAUUAGAUACCCUGGUA
rnacentral:rRNA from 1 species